AAUUCCUUUUGGAAUAGGCUUGUCGGGCGGCAUUGGGGCUCUCUUUCUGGAGAGACCCGAUCCCGUUCUAGUACCGAAGCAUCACAAGUCGAGUGCUCUGGUUGCGUGUAAAAGCGUAGCUAGGGCAUUCGUAAUGUGACGCGCUACUCGUAUAUCAGAGUGAGCUGCCAAAUGGCGUCCAACUUGACUUCUAUGAUGUACUGGAAACAUCAAGACGUGUAUAACAGCGUGUCUUUGGUGUAUCCUAUUCGUCUUGUCAGACCGGUUCGUCGCUCGCAUCUGAAUAAUGGGGUUCGUUGUCUAUGCCAUACCUUUCGGGGUGAGGAAGACGACGGUGCGUGUCUUGAUCUUCUCAACCUGAACUCAGUCGUGAUUACCCGCUGAACUUAAGCAUAUCAUUUAGCGGAGGAAAAGAAACUAAAAAGGAUUCCCUUAGUAACGGCGAGUGAAACGGGAAGAGCCCAGCGCCGAAUCGUUCAGUCUUUGGCUGCUUCGAAAUGUGGCGUAUAGGUGUAGUCUUCUAGCAGUAUCGUAUGUCCGAAGUCCUUACGAUUGAGGCCAUAAACCAGAGAGGGUGCGAGCCCCGUUCUGGAUAGCGAUGCUGUUGGUUUGGCUGCUCCUUGGAGUCGGGUUGCUUGAAAGUGCAGCCUAAAGUGGGUGAUAAACUUCAUCUAAGGCUAAAUAUCGACUCGAUUGCGAUAGCGAACAAGUACCGUGAGGGAAAGUUGCAAAGGACUUUGAAGAGAGAGUUCAAGAGAACGUGAAAUCGUUGGAGUGGAACCGGAGACAGUUGAUGUUGCUUGGAGACAAGUUUGGUGACUGGUCGCUUAGUUGUGAUCGUUGCCGGAUGUCGUUUCCUAUGCUACGCCGACGGCGUUGGCUGCUCGUUCUGGCCCGAUAAUGUUGCCCAGCUCGCAAGAGUCGGUGUCUUGUUGUCGGUAGUUGGUUCGUGGCGGCUAGCGUUUAGUUACGCUAGUGUGUGUGACGUCGGUGUGAAAGUCGACGACGUUUCCGACCCGUCUUGAAACACGGAUUGCGGAGUGCUUGUCUACUGCGAGUCAAAGGGUGUUAAAACCUUGCGGCGAAAUGAAAGUGAAGGUCAGUCUUGAAUUGGCCGACGUGGGAUCUGCGCUCUUCGGAGUGUUGCGCACCACGGCCCUAUGCGUGUCACUUGUGACUGUGUAGAGGUUGAGCAGUUGGCAAACGACCCGAAAGAUGGUGAACUAUGCUUGAGCAGGAUGAAGCCAGAGGAAACUCUGGUGGAAGUCCGUAUCGGUUCUGACGUGCAAAUCGAUCGAUAGACUUGAGUAUAGGGGCGAAAGACUAAUCGAACCAUCUAGUAGCUGGUUCCUUCCGAAGUUUCCCUCAGGAUAGCUGGAUCUCUGGCAGUUAUAUUCGGUAAAGCUAAUGAUUAGAGGCCUUGGGGGCGUAAUGCCCUCAACCUAUUCUCAAACUUUCAAUGGAUAUGAAGUUGCAGUUUCUUUAGUGAACUGUCAACGUGAAUGCGAGGUCCAAGUGGGCCAUUUUUGGUAAGCAGAACUGGCGCUGUGGGAUGAACCAAACGUGGAGUUAAGGUGCCUAACUUCUCGCUCAUGAGACCCCAUAAAAGGUGUUGGUUGAUAUUGACAGCAGGACGGUGGCCAUGGAAGUCGGUACCCGCUAAGGAGUGUGUAACAACUCACCUGCCGAAUCAACUAGCCCUGAAAAUGGAUGGCGCUUAAGCGAGAGACCUAUACUCCGCCGUUGCGACAUGUGCGUUGUCUAGCGCCAGGUCGUAACGAGUAGGAAGGUCGUGGCGGUUGCGUUGAAGGCUAUGAGCGUGGGCUCGGCUGGAGCUUCCGUCAGUGCAGAUCGUAAUGGUAGUAGCAAAUAUUCAAGUUCGAUCCUUGAAGACUGAAGUGGAGAAGGGUUCCACGUGAACAGUAGUUGGAUGUGGGUCAGUCGAUCCUAAGGUACUGGCGAACGCCUUGUAUCAUCGGUGGCGAAAAGCUUGCUUUUGGUCCCCGUUUGUCGAAAGGGAAUAGGGUUAAUAUUCCCUAACUGAGAUGCAAAGAUUGUGUUCUUCGGAGCACAAGCGCGGUAACGCAUUCGAACUUGGUUAGUCGCUCAAAGACCGAGCUAGAGUUUUCUUCUCUAGUUAAGGAACGGACUCCCUGGAAUUGGUUCAGCCAGAGAUGGGGACGUUGUUUCCGAAAAGCACCGCGGUUUCUGUGGUGUCUCGUGCUCUUUGAACGGCCCUUAAAACACCAAGGGAGGCUAUUAAUUUGCACUCAAUCGUACCGAUAUCCGCAUUAGGUCUCCAAGGUGAACAGCCUCUAGUCGAUAGAAUAAUGUAGGUAAGGGAAGUCGGCAAACUAGAUCCGUAACUUCGGGAAAAGGAUUGGCUCCAGUGGUUGGAACGAUUGGCCAGUUGGUUGAUGCUUGUCCGGCGCUAUUCUGUCUGCUUGAUGCCUUCGGGUUGAUGGCGGACUAGUGAUAGUGCUUGCUUGUGGACGCUUUCUGGUGUGUGCUUGGACCUCGGUUCUAGUAUCCUGAUCGUUCAUCUAAACAACCGUACUGGAACCGGUACGGACUCAGGGAAUCCGACUGUCUAAUUAAAACAGAGGUGACAGAUGGUCCUUGCGGACGUUGACUGUCACUGAUUUCUGCCCAGUGCUCUGAAUGUUAAAUCGUAGUAAUUCGAGUAAGCGCGGGUAAACGGCGGGAGUAACUAUGACUCUCUUAAGGUAGCCAAAUGCCUCGUCAUUUAAUUGUUGACGCGCAUGAAUGGAUUAACGAGAUUCCUACUGUCCCUAACUACUAUCUAGCGAAACCACAGCCAAGGGAACGGGCUUGGCAAAAAUAGCGGGGAAAGAAGACCCUGUUGAGCUUGACUCUAGUUUGACAUUGUGAAGAGUCAUGAGAGGUGUAGCAUAGGUGGGAGACUUCG
rnacentral:rRNA from 1 species